rnacentral:rRNA from 1 species
UGGGGAAUUUUGGACAAUGGGGGAAACCCUGAUCCAGCCAUCCCGCGUGUGCGAUGAAGGCCUUCGGGUUGUAAAGCACUUUUGGCAGGAAAGAAACGUCAUGGGUUAAUACCCCGUGAAACUGACGGUACCUGCAGAAUAAGCACCGGCUAACUACGUGCCAGCAGCCGCGGUAAUACGUAGGGUGCAAGCGUUAAUCGGAAUUACUGGGCGUAAAGCGUGCGCAGGCGGUUCGGAAAGAAAGAUGUGAAAUCCCAGAGCUCAACUUUGGAACUGCAUUAUUAACUACCGGGCUAGAGGGUGUCAGAGGGAGGUGGAAUUCCGCGUGGAGCAGUGAAAUGCGUAGAUAUGCGGAGGAACACCGAUGGCGAAGGCAGCCUCCUGGGAUAACACUGACGCUCAUGCACGAAAGCGUGGGGAGCAAACAGG